rnacentral:rRNA from 1 species
ACUCCUACGGGAGGCAGCAGUGGGGAAUAUUGCACAAUGGGGGAAACCCUGAUGCAGCCAUGCCGCGUGUGUGAAGAAGGCCUUCGGGUUGUAAAGCACUUUCAGUAGGGAGGAAGGUAGUGUAGUUAACACCUGCAUUAUUUGACGUUACCUACAGAAGAAGCACCGGCUAACUCCGUGCCAGCAGCCGCGGUAAUACGGAGGGUGCGAGCGUUAAUCGGAAUUACUGGGCGUAAAGCGCAUGCAGGCGGCCUGUUAAGUCAGAUGUGAAAGCCCGGGGCUUAACCUCGGAAAUUGCAUUUGAAACUGGCAGGCUAGAGUCUUGUAGAGGGGGGUAGAAUUUCAGGUGUAGCGGUGAAAUGCGUAGAGAUACUGAAGGAAUACCAGUGGCGAAGGCGGCCCCCUGGACAAAGACUGACGCUCAGAUGCGAAAAGCGUGGGGG